GUGUUUCCUUCAGUUGCACAGAUACUGAAGUUGGAAUGAUACAGAAAAGGUUAGCAUGGUGCUUGCUCAAAGGUGACAAGCAAAUUUGCGAAGCAUCCCUAUUCCUU